rnacentral:tRNA from 1 species
GGCUCAGUGGUUCAACAGUAAAGCGCUCGUCGCGGACCCAGAGGGCCCUGGGUUCGAUCCCCGACGGGGUCG